GAUGAACGCUGGCGGCGUGCCUAAUACAUGCAAGUCGAGCGAACAGACGAGGAGCUUGCUCCUCUGACGUUAGCGGCGGACGGGUGAGUAACACGUGGAUAACCUACCUAUAAGACUGGGAUAACUUCGGGAAACCGGAGCUAAUACCGGAUAAUAUAGUGAACCGCAUGGUUCAAUAGUGAAAGACGGUUUUGCUGUCACUUAUAGAUGGAUCCGCGCCGCAUUAGCUAGUUGGUAAGGUAACGGCUUACCAAGGCAACGAUGCGUAGCCGACCUGAGAGGGUGAUCGGCCACACUGGAACUGAGACACGGUCCAGACUCCUACGGGAGGCAGCAGUAGGGAAUCUUCCGCAAUGGGCGAAAGCUUGACGGAGCAACGCCGCGUGAGUGAUGAAGGUCUUCGGAUCGUAAAACUCUGUUAUUAGGGAAGAACAAAUGUGUAAGUAACUAUGCACGUCUUGACGGUACCUAAUCAGAAAGCAACGGCUAACUACGUG
rnacentral:rRNA from 1 species